rnacentral:rRNA from 1 species
GCUAAAUAAGAGCGUAUGGGGAAUGCCUUGGCUCUCAGAGGCGAUGAAGGACGUGAUAAGCUGCGAUAAGCAAUGGGGAGUUGCACAUGAACUGUGAUCCAUUGAUUUCCGAAUGGGGCAACCUGUAUAUUCCUUAGGGAAGGCGAACGGGGGGAACUGAAACAUCUAAGUACCCCUAGGAAGAGAAAAUAAUAAUGAUUUUGUGAGUAGCGGCGAGCGAAAGUGAAAGAGCCCAAACCAGUAUUGUUUCGGCAAUGCUGGGGUUGUAGGACUACGAUAUGGACUUAUGUUGUAUAGUGGAAUUACCUGGAAAGGUAAGCCAUAGAGAGUGAAAGCCUUGUACACGACAUGCAAUAUAUACCUAGUAGUAUCCUGAGUAGGGCGGGGCACGAGAAACCCUGUCUGAAUCUGCCGGGACCAUCCGGUAAGGCUAAAUACUCCUGAGAGACCGAUAGUGAACUAGUACCGUGAGGGAAAGGUGAAAAGAACCCUGAAUAAGGGAGUGAAAUAGAUCCUGAAACCAUACGCUUACAAGCGGUCGGAGCAGCGUAAGUUGUGACGGCGUGCCUUUUGCAUAAUGAGCCUACGAGUUACCGUUGCUAGCAAGGUUAAGUGAUUAAGUCACGGAUCCGUAGCGAAAGCGAGUCUGAAUAGGGCGUUUUAGUUAGUAGUGGUAGACGCGAAACCGUGUGAUCUACCCAUGGGCAGGGUGAAGCUGUAGUAACAUACAGUGGAGGCCCGAACCGAUAUACGUUGAAAAGUGUUCGGAUGACCUGUGGGUAGGGGUGAAAGGCCAAUCAAACUCGGAAAUAGCUCGUACUCCCCGAAAUGCAUUUAGGUGCAGCGUUGAUUUAUAGUUUUAUAGAGGUAGAGCUACUGAUUGGAUGCGGGGGCUUCACCGCCUACCAAUUCCUGACAAACUCCGAAUGCUAUAAAAUGUUAAUCAGCAGUGAGGGCAUGGGUGCUAAGGUCCAUGUCCGAAAGGGAAACAACCCAGACCAUCAGCUAAGGUCCCCAAAUAUAUGUUAAGUUGAAUAAACGAGGUUGAACUGCUUUGACAGCUAGGAUGUUGGCUUGGAAGCAGCCAUUCAUUUAAAGAGUGCGUAACAGCUCACUAGUCGAGCGAUUGAGCAUGGAUAAUAAUCGGGCAUAAAGUAUAUUACCGAAGCUAUGGAAUUGUUAGCAAUAACAAAUUGGUAGGGGAGCAUUCUAGUCAGCGUUGAAGGUGUAUCGUAAGGUAUGCUGGAGCGUCUAGAAAAGAAAAUGUAGGAAUAAGUAACGAUAAGGCAGGCGAGAAACCUGCCCACCGAUAGACUAAGGUUUCCUGAUCAACGCUAAUCGGAUCAGGGUUAGUCGGGACCUAAGGCGAACCCGAAAGGGGUAGUCGAUGGAUAACAGGUUAAUAUUCCUGUACUAGCAUAUAUUGCGAUGGGGUGACGGAGUAGUGAAAGGUCUGCGUACUGACGGAAUAGUACGUUGAAGGCUUCGGCCGAUAGUACAUGGACUCCUCCGGGAAGAAAUGAUAGUGUACUUAGUAAGCGUCCAAGAAAUAGCGACUAUAGCAGCCCGUACCGUAAACCGACACAGGUAGUCGAGGAGAGUAUCCUAAGGCGCUCGAGUGAUCCGUGGCUAAG